GUAUGACACAAACUUUUGAGGGAUUUCUGAGCUAAUUCUUCUCGGUUUGGUAAGAAUACAAGAUUAUGGGACUUUAAUAGCUUUCAUGUUUAAAUCUCACGGGCCACCUCAUAAAAAGAGUCAUCAGAAUCGGAAUGUCCUUUUUGCGUGGGAUUACGGCAAUUUAUUUUAGAGUGAUGGCAAAGGGAUUACAUCAUAUGCUUCUGAUUGCUGCACUAUGAAGGGGGAUUACAUCAUGUCAAAAGACAUUCAUGUCCUUGGUUCACCUCCCUCAACCAUACUGAGCCCCCGCCCUCCGUCACCAGAAAGAGGGAGGCUUUUUUUUCCCCCUCCUGAAAGGAUAUUUUUGUCCUUUUGAUUUUAUCUUUUGUAAAGUACGUACAAAAAUAUAUUUUAUUACCCCAUUCUUAAUAUUGUGCCAAACAAACUUACUGCAAUCACCAUUACAUUCCAUCA